AAUUUCUGAUAAUUUUUACCUUUUAAAAGUAAUGUAUUAGUAUACUAAACAGAU
rnacentral:tRNA from 1 species